GUAGGGAAUAUUGCGCAAUGGACGAAAGUCUGACGCAGCGACGCCGCGUGAGUGAUGAAGGCCUUAGGGUCGUAAAGCUCUGUUGAAUGGGAAGAAAAAAAUGACGGUACCAUUCGAGGAAGGACCGGCUAACUUCGUGCCAGCAGCCGCGGUAAUACGAGGGGUCCUAGCGUUGUUCGGAAUCAUUGGGCGUAAAGGGUGUGUAGGUGGCCAUGUAAGUCAGGUGUGAAAGCCCCGGGCUCAACCCGGGAAGUGCACUUGAUACUGCGUGGCUUGAGUACCGAAGAGGGUAGUGGAAUUCCAGGUGUAGUGGUGAAAUGCAUAGAUACCAUCAGGAACACCGAUAGCGAAGGCAUUGUACUGGCCGACAACUGACGCUGAUGCACGAAAGUGUGGGGAUCGAACAGGAUUAGAAACCCUGGUAGUCC
rnacentral:rRNA from 1 species